AUGCACGCUGGCGGCGUGCCUAAUACAUGCCAGUCGCGCGAACAGACGAGGAGCUUGCUCCUCUGACGUUAGCGGCGGGCGGGUGAGUAACACGUGGAUAACCUACCUAUAAGACUGGGAUAACUUCGGGAAACCGGAGCUAAUACCGGAUAAUAUAUUGAACCGCAUGGUUCAAUAGUGAAAGACGGUUUUGCUGUCACUUAUAGAUGGAUCCGCGCCGCAUUAGCUAGUUGGUAAGGUAACGGCUUACCAAGGCAACGAUGCGUAGCCGACCUGAGAGGGUGAUCGGCCACACUGGAACUGAGACACGGUCCAGACUCCUACGGGAGGCAGCAGUAGGGAAUCUUCCGCAAAGGGCGAAAGCUUGACGGAGCAACGCCGCGUGAGUGAUGAAGGUCUUCGGAUCGUAAAACUCUGUUAUUAGGGAAGAACAAAUGUGUAAGUAACUAUGCACGUCUUGACGGUACCUAAUCAGAAAGCCACGGCUAACUACGUG
rnacentral:rRNA from 1 species